GGAGGAACUAAGGCAUCACAAUGUCAGGGGCACUAAGGGAUCACCCUGCUGUGAGGGUCCUUGAGUACCCCUGCACUAUACUACAGGACUAGCCAGGUUCUUUUGUGAAAGCAAAGGAAGAAGGUGAAGAUUUAACAAGCGGAUUUAUUUUAAGUAAAAAUCUUGAGAACACUGGUUCAUGGUAGUGAAAAAAACAUGCUGCAGGAGAUCACUUCUCAUCCCAACUAUAGAGCAACAAAGCUUAAAGAUCUUAACGCAUUGGCAUUUAUUGACAAGUCUGUACCAUUACAUAGUUUGCCUAUAAAAACUAUAGGGAAACUGAUCAUCCCCCUGUAUCACCCAAACCCCUAACUGCUGGUAAGAACAAGAUCCACACACAAGUUUUAUAGCAAUGCCCAAAGCCUUCAGAUAAAUGCUGGUAUGAUAAACCCUGGGUACACAACACUGAUACCAAGCACUAAGCUGCCCCCCAGACAUCUAUCACAUUAUGUACGGCUCAGUCUAGACUAGGGAUCAGCAACCCCCGGCUCUCCAGCUGUAAGCUACAACUACCAGAAUCCUUUCUUAACUAGAGCAGCCAAGUACAUACUGGGAGUUGUAGUUUCACAGCAGCUGGAGUGCCAAAGGUUGCUGGUCCAGGACAACUUGACUAGUCACCGCAUGUAUUUGUUGACUAACCUUAAUAUGUUCUCUACUGUAACCCACACAACUACCUUGCCAUGCUGACUGUUACCACAUGAGUCACGUGCCUUGGAUCAGGAUCAUCCUGUAAAACUGCAGACCUGUUAAGUGGAUGAAUGUCUGCUUUGACCCAUACGUCGCUCUAAAGACGGCAAGACCACUGAGGUAGUGGAAAGUUUAUUUACAAUGGAGUUACACUUAGAUACCAAAGUAUGGAGAGAGAAUUGAGGCAAGGCAUGCAAACUGAAGUGGGAAGGGUCACAGAAGACUAGCUGUAGAUACAAAUUUUUCUGAAAAACCUGAGGAUUAAGGGAAUGUCAUAUAAAAUGUGUACUACCCAUUUACUGUCAACUACUCUACAGUUAACAAACCCUUUAUAAAAUAAAGAGACAUCACACUUAUGUACAGUUUGUAAAAAAAAGAAAAUCUAAGAUCAAAAACAAGUUUCCCG